CGCGUUGGGAGCUCUCCCAUAUGGUCGACCUGCAGGCGGCCGCGAAUUCACUAGUGAUUAGAGUUUGAUCAUGGCUCAGAACGAACGCUGGCGGCAUGCCUAACACAUGCAAGUCGAACGAACCCUUCGGGGUUAGUGGCGCACGGGUGCGUAACGCGUGGGAAUCUGCCCUUGGCUUCGGAAUAACAGUUAGAAAUGACUGCUAAUACCGGAUGAUGUCUUCGGACCAAAGAUUUAUCGGCCAGGGAUGAGCCCGCGUAGGAUUAGGUAGUUGGUGGGGUAAAGGCCUACCAAGCCGACGAUCCUUAGCUGGUCUGAGAGGAUGAUCAGCCACACUGGGACUGAGACACGGCCCAGACUCCUACGGGAGGCAGCAGUGGGGAAUAUUGGACAAUGGGCGCAAGCCUGAUCCAGCAAUGCCGCGUGAGUGAUGAAGGCCUUAGGGUCGUAAAGCUCUUUUACCCGGGAUGAUAAUGACAGUACCGGGAGAAUAAGCACCGGCUAACUCCGUGCCAGCAGCCGCGGUAAUACGAAUCGAAUUCCCGCG
rnacentral:rRNA from 1 species